UGGGGAAUAUUGCACAAUGGGCGCAAGCCUGAUGCAGCCAUGCCGCGUGUAUGAAGAAGGCCUUCGGGUUGUAAAGUACUUUCAGUCGGGAGGAAGGUGGUAAGGUUAAUAACCUUAUCAAUUGACGUUACCGACAGAAGAAGCACCGGCUAACUCCGUGCCAGCAGCCGCGGUAAUACGGAGGGUGCAAGCGUUAAUCGGAAUUACUGGGCGUAAAGCGCACGCAGGCGGUUGAUUGAGUCAGAUGUGAAAUCCCCGGGCUUAACCCGGGAAUUGCAUCUGAUACUGGUCAGCUAGAGUCUUGUAGAGGGGGGUAGAAUUCCAUGUGUAGCGGUGAAAUGCGUAGAGAUGUGGAGGAAUACCAGUGGCGAAGGCGGCCCCCUGGACAAAGACUGACGCUCAAGUGCGAAAGCGUGGGGAGCAAACAGG
rnacentral:rRNA from 1 species